rnacentral:rRNA from 1 species
CGCUUUUUGAUUUUGUAUAAAAAGUAGGACCUGCCCACUGAAAAGUUAAAUGGCCGCGGUAAUUUGACCGUGCGAAGGUAGCAUAAUCAUUAGUCUAUUAAUUGUGGACUGGAAUGAAUGGUUUGAUUGAAUAAUGGCUGUCUUUAUUUUAAAAAUGAAUUUUAAUUUUUUGUGAGGAUGCAAAAAUAAUUUUAAAAGACGAGAAGACCCUAUUAAGCUUUAUAGAUGUGUGAUUUGAAAAGAUUAAUAAUUACAUAAUAUUAUGUUGGGGCGACAUUUAAAAUUUAGGAACUUUAAAUUAAUAAAAUAAAUUAAUUAGGAAAAUGACCCAAAAAUUUGAUUAUAAGAAUAAGUUACUAUAGGGAUAACAGCGUAAUCUUAUCGGAGAGUUCAAAUUGAUGAUAGGGGUUGCGACCUCGAUGUUGAAUUAGGAGACCUUUUAGGUGUAGCCGUUUUUUAAGGUAGACUGUUCGUCUAUUAAAUUCCUACA